ensembl:misc_RNA Metazoa_SRP Metazoan signal recognition particle RNA
GCCGGGCGUUGGUGGUGCACGCCUUUAAUCCCAGCACUCGGGAGGCAGAGGCAGGCGGAUCUCUGUGAGUUCCAGGCCAGCCUGGUCUACAAGAGUGAGUGCCAGGAUAGUCUCCAAAGCUACACAGAGAAACCCUGUCUCGAAAAACCAAAAAAAAAAAGACAGGGAUUCUCUAUGGCUUUGGAGGCUGACCUGGAACUAGCUCUUGUAGACCAGGCUGGUCUGGAACUCACAGAGAUCCGUCUACCUCU